GCGGGCAUGAAGACUUGCUCUGGAGAAGAUGAUGACAGAGAUUGUCAGAAGACUCCUCUGUUUUCCUGCCUUGAUAGUGGUACUCCUUAUCUGAUUGAACUUGGACCUGACUUUAAGGUCCUUAGCAAUAAGAUGACAAAAGCUAAGAUAUUAAGCCUCAACGCAUAGGAGGUGCUUGAUGAAGCCGUACUGCAUCACAAAUGAAGCUAACUCAAUGAAUAAUAAGAAGGUGGAUUGUGGGCAUAAGGAGACUGCCUUAUAUUGGUCAAAAAUUAUUUUCACAGAAGAAAUGACAUGAAAGCAUAUAAACAUUUCGCCUCAGGCAGCCCUUGUCAGACAUAAUGGCUUCUCAACACCUUUUGGGCUACAGAAAGGGACACUCAUACUUGGUUUCAGGAAAUAAAAGGGAGACAAGAGAAGGUCUUGGCAUUCAGAUGAAGAAGCCCUGAACCAGAAACUGCAUUAUCCACACAAUGUCUUGCUGUGUGUUGGACAACUAAGCCUUUUACAAAAGAGGUAAUUCAAAAGCCACACAAGUUGUCAUUUCCCCAACGAAAGAUGUGAGCUAUCUUAAGCAAGAGCAUGACACAUUGUCUAAUACAAACAAUUGAAAUGUAAUAUUUGACUGUCAGCUGCCAAAAUAACACAAAUGAACAGAAUAAUAGAACUCGGUGAUUUUAACAACUUAUUACAGAAUACCUUGCCGUGUUCAAACUGCAAGAAGAAAACACCAUCAACAGCUUAUGAGGCUUGCAUUAUAUAACAUACUUGAAGGACAGACAAUCAAGUGUAGAGAAUCUUACGUUCUUGGAAAGACGUGAAGAGCAUCUGGAAUCUACUGUUUCGACUGCC